GUUUUACAAGAGAAAGAGAAAGAAGGGGAGAGAAUAUUUCGUUUAUAUUUUUUUAAAGUCUACAUUUUGUCAUUGUCGUGUUGUGAAUAGAAGAAGUAAAGUACUAUAUUAAUUAGUGAUGCACAUGCUGUAUUUGAUAUAAAAAGUACAAUCGCUAAAACGGAAGAUAUUGUGUUAAAAAAAAAAAAAAAAAAAAAAAUAUAUAUAUAUAUUACGUCUGUUUAAUAUGAAAUUUUCACAUAAAUUAUGUAUUGUUUUUGUGUCAGCGAUACUUUAUUACUUUACUUACAGAUACUUUACAUCUAAUGACGAUGAUGAUGACGAUGAUCAUCAGCAAAACCAGAAUCAAAAUAACAGAUGGAGUCAUAUGAAUGGCAAUCCAAUUGUAAAAGAACAUUAAAGAAAAAAAUAUUAUUGACGUGCGGAUUACACAUAAUCCGUAAAAAUAUAUUUGUCUAUGUGUUGAAAAGAUCUUUUCAACCUCAAGUCAUUUAACCUACGCAUAAUUAUUUUAUAAAACAAGGUAAUUUUUAAUAAAUGUUUAAUGUAAUGACGAAUAGAAAAACUAUGCUAAAUAAUUUUAAUUUUAUUGUUAAUAUGAAAAAGCCUAUUUCAAAUAUAAAUAAUUUUAACUCAACAUUAGU